rnacentral:rRNA from 1 species
CUCAAAGGGCGUUUGGAACAUGUGGCGUUUAGGAGGAAUCUCUCCGAGGGCAGACGGUGUCGCAAGUCCCCCUGAACGGGGCUGUGAUCCAGAGCGGGUGCGAGGCCCAUAGCUGGUACCGUCUCCUUUGGGUGUCCCCUCCUUGGAGUCGGGUUGCUUGGGAGUGCAGCCCUAAUUGGGUGGUAAACUCCACCUAAGGCUAAAUACGUCCGUGAGACCGAUAGCAAACAAGUACCGUGAGGGAAAGUUGCAAAGAACUUUGAAGAGAGAGUUCAAGAGUACGUGAAACCGCUCAGAGGCAAACGGGUGGGCCCACGAAAGCCGAAGGCGGGGGGAUUCAGUCGAGAGGACGGUGGGGCAGGACUGGCUGGUUGGACGGACCGUGCCAGGCCGGGUCAGUUCCCGAGAUCUGCCGCCUUUCGACGCAUUUCCCCCUGCUUAGUAGGACGCCGCAACCGGUUGGCGCUGCAGCCAUAAGGGAGAGUAAAUGGAAGGUAGCCAGUGAGUUCUUCUUCGGAGGCGCGAGCUGGUCCUAAGCCGACUCUCCUGGUGCUUGUGGCCCGACCGUGGUCGUGAGUCCCUCAACGGGAUGUCGCCGAGCCCUCUGACUGGAGCGGGAGAAAUGGCAGGCUGCUUUCCGCGGAAAAAAUCGAUCGCUUCACGCGUGCAGUGGGCGAUCUCCGGAGGUAGCUGCUGGUGCAUUUUUCUCCUGCGCUGGGCACAGGCAGUUGGCGGCGAGUAGGUCGGUCACCCACCCGACCCGUCUUGAAACACGGACCAAGGAGUCUAACAUGUGCGCGAGUCAUUGGGUCUUGAACAAGCCCAAAGGCGCAAUGAAAGUGAAGACCAGCACUGAAGCUGGUGGAGUUGGGAAACUGCGUCACUGAAGAUGCAGUUGCACCAACGGCCCGUCCCGUCCGCAUCGUCGGUGGGGCGGAGCGAGAGCGUACACGUUGGGACCCGAAAGAUGGUGAACUAUGCCUGGGCAGGACGAAGCCAGAGGAAACUCUGGUGGAGGUCCG